GAUGAACGCUGGCGGCGUGCCUAACACAUGCAAGUCGAACGGAGUCGUUUUGGAAAUCUCUUCGGCGCUGGAAUUCUCGACUUAGUGGCGGACGGGUGAGUAACGCGUGAGCAAUCUGCCUUUAAGAGGGGGAUAACAGUCGGAAACGGCUGCUAAUACCGCAUAAAGCAUUAAAUUCGCAUGUUUUUGAUGCCAAAGGAGCAAUCCGCUUUUAGCGGAGCUCGGGUCUGGUUAGCUAGUGGGCGGGGUAACGGGCCACCAAGGCGACGAUCAGUAGCCGGACUGAGGGGGUGCACGGCCACAUGGGGACUGAGACACGGCCCAGACUCCUAGGAGAGGCAGGAGGGGAGAAUAGUGCGCAAGGGGGAAAACUCUGACGCAGAAACGCCGCGUGAGUGAAGAAGGCCUUCGGUGUGUAAAGAUCUUGAAUCAGGGACGAAACAAAUGACGGUACCUGAAGAAUAAGCACCGGCUAACUACGUG
rnacentral:rRNA from 1 species